rnacentral:rRNA from 1 species
UACGUAGGGUGCGAGCGUUGUCCGGAAUUACUGGGCGUAAAGAGCUUGUAGGUGGUUUGUCGCGUUGUUCGUGAAAUCUCACGGCUUAACUGUGAGCGUGCGGGCGAUACGGGCAGACUAGAGUACUGCAGGGGAGACUGGAAUUCCUGGUGUAGCGGUGGAAUGCGCAGAUAUCAGGAGGAACACCGGUGGCGAAGGCGGUUCUCUGGGCAUGAUCUGACGCUGAGGAGCGAAAGUGUGGGGAGCGAACAGG